rnacentral:rRNA from 2 species
AAAUUGAAGAGUUUGAUCAUGGCUCAGAUUGAACGCUGGCGGCAGGCCUAACACAUGCAAGUCGAACGGUAACAGGAAUCAGCUUGCUGAUUCGCUGACGAGUGGCGGACGGGUGAGUAAUGUCUGGGAAACUGCCUGAUGGAGGGGGAUAACUACUGGAAACGGUAGCUAAUACC